rnacentral:rRNA from 1 species
GCUGGCGGCGCGCCUAACACAUGCAAGUCGAACGAGCGAGAGAGAGCUUGCUUUCUCGAGCGAGUGGCGAACGGGUGAGUAACGCGUGAGGAACCUGCCUCAAAGAGGGGGACAACAGUUGGAAACGACUGCUAAUACCGCAUAAGCCCACGGGUCGGCAUCGACCAGAGGGAAAAGGAGUGAUCCGCUUUGAGAUGGCCUCGCGUCCGAUUAGCUAGUUGGUGAGGUAACGGCCCACCAAGGCGACGAUCGGUAGCCGGACUGAGAGGUUGAACGGCCACAUUGGGACUGAGACACGGCCCAGACUCCUACGGGAGGCAGCAGUGGGGAAUAUUGCACAAUGGGGGAAACCCUGAUGCAGCGACGCCGCGUGGAGGAAGAAGGUCUUCGGAUUGUAAACUCCUGUUGUUGAGGAAGAUAAUGACGGUACUCAACAAGGAAGUGACGGCUAACUACGUGCCAGCAGCCGCGGUAAAACGUAGGUCACAAGCGUUGUCCGGAAUUACUGGGUGUAAAGGGAGCGCAGGCGGGCAGACAAGUUGGAAGUGAAAUCCAUGGGCUCAACCCAUGAACUGCUUUCAAAACUGUAUGUCUUGAGUAGUGCAGAGGUAGGCGGAAUUCCCGGUGUAGCGGUGGAAUGCGUAGAUAUCGGGAGGAACACCAGUGGCGAAGGCGGCCUACUGGGCACCAACUGACGCUGUGGCUCGAAAGUGUGGGUAGCAAACAGGAUUAGAUACCCUGGUAGUCCACACCGUAAACGAUGAUUACUAGGUGUUGGAGGAUUGACCCCUUCAGUGCCGCAGUUAACACAAUAAGUAAUCCACCUGGGGAGUACGACCGCAAGGUUGCAACUCAAAGGAAUUGACGG